rnacentral:rRNA from 1 species
AACGAACGCUGGCGGCAGGCUUAACACAUGCAAGUCGAACGCGUGUAGCAAUACACGAGUGGCGCACGGGUGAGUAACGCGUGGAUAUCUGCCUUUUGGUUCGGAAUAACUCCGGGAAACUGGAGCUAAUACCGGAUGGUUCCUACGGGAUAAAGAUUUAUCGCCAAAAGAUGAGUCCGCGUACGAUUAGCUAGUUGGUGGGGUAAUGGCCCACCAAGGCGACGAUCGUUAGCUGGUCUGAGAGGACGAUCAGCCACACUGGGACUGAGACACGGCCCAGACUCCUACGGGAGGCAGCAGUGGGGAAUAUUGGACAAUGGGGGCAACCCUGAUCCAGCCAUGCCGCGUGAGUGAUGAAGGCCUUCGGGUUGUAAAGCUCUUUUGGCGGGGACGAUGAUGACGGUACCCGCAGAAUAAGCCCCGGCUAACUUCGUGCCAGCCGCCGCAGUAAGAC